rnacentral:tRNA from 1 species
GGAGAGGCCAUGAUUCAGUAGUAGAGCAUCUGGUUGGCAAGCAGAAGGCUCCAGGUUCAAUCCCCGGCAUCUCCA